rnacentral:lncRNA from 1 species
AGGAUGACAGUUGGUGCCCCAGGUGCAUCUGUCUCACUGUUCACCUUAGCUCAUCUCCAUAACUGCCCCGUAUAUCUCUGCACCCAAGAUUCACUCAAAAAGGCUACACUGCGCUAUGUUGCUUCCCUGGAGCUUGUUACAGAGAAUUUCUUUACCAUUUGAGGAAUGCGUUCAAGAUGCUGUGACAGAUUUGCAGAAAUCCUUCCGGAGGCACACCGCAAGAACUCAUGAGAGGAUGUGUGGUUUCCAGGCAGAUUUAUCUGAUAGUUUUCAGACAUAUGUGCACCAGGAAGAGGAAUGA